CUGCCAAGCCCAAGCCAGCGGCGUCCGGCAGCCCCUGGUACGGGGCCGACCGCGUCCUGUACCUGGGUCCGUUCUCCGGCGAGCCCCCAAGCUACCUGACCGGCGAGUUCCCCGGCGACUACGGCUGGGACACUGCCGGGCUGUCUGCGGACCCCGAGACCUUCGCCAAGAACCGCGAGCUGGAGGUGAUCCACUGCCGCUGGGCCAUGCUCGGCGCGCUCGGGUGCGUGUUCCCGGAGCUGCUCGCCCGCAACGGCGUCAAGUUCGGCGAGGCCGUGUGGUUCAAGGCGGGCUCCCAGAUCUUCAGCGAGGGCGGGCUGGACUACCUCGGCAACCCGAGCUUGAUCCACGCGCAGAGCAUCCUGGCCAUCUGGGCGUGCCAGGUGGUGCUCAUGGGCGCCGUCGAGGGGUACCGCGUCGCCGGUGGCCCGCUCGGAGAGGUGGUCGAUCCUCUGUACCCUGGCGGCAGCUUCGACCCGCUUGGGCUCGCCGACGACCCGGAGGCGUUCGCGGAGCUGAAGGUGAAGGAGAUCAAGAACGGCCGCCUCGCCAUGUUCUCCAUGUUCGGCUUCUUCGUGCAGGCUAUCGUCACCGGCAAGGGUCCCCUUGAGAACCUCGCCGACCACCUCGCCGACCCUGUCAACAACAACGCCUGGGCGUACGCCACCAACUUCGUCCCCGGCAAGUGAGCGAGGGCAUGCUUGUACCGUAGACAUACGUAUCCGUAUGUACUGCAGGGUGUACCAGUAUUUGUGAAGGGAGCUUGGGUCAGAGAUUGUACCAGUAGUGUAUUUGUAUGCAUGUUCUGACCUGAUCAAUAAAAUAUGCUGUAAAUUGUAUAUGUCUUUAUUUAUGCAUACUGUACAUGAUUGUUCAGACAAUCGUUCGAUCAAGUGGGAGUUUUGAUGAAGUUGCAGCAAAGUUCAGUGAGCACGUCCUAAAUCAAACAACAGGUAGCAGACUUAUCCCUUCCAUGCUCUGGUUUUACAGUGGCGGCAACCUGAUAACAAUACAGUAUUUGACCAUGGCACACUGGCAGCUUAAUCAACUAUUUCGCCUUAUAUACAUAGAAAAGCCUUUUAACGAUUUUUUAAGAUGUGCCAUCAAAGUUAAGAUGUGCAUAUCUUGGUCCCAAGGACCAGAAGAACUACAGAUCUCAAAAGUUAAGCACCAACUGCAACUUUCAGCAAAAAAUAGGUUGCAAGCGUAGCUGAUGCUGACAACGACAAUUGGAGGUAAAUUCACGUGGAGACCUGUGGAAAAGAUAUGGCCACUACAUAAAACUCAAAACCCACGCACCAAAAGACCAAAACUAAAUUUAUUUCUGGCACUGAACGAGUCAGACUGAAAUUGUCUCUGCCAGUAGAAGUGAAGGGACUACAUAUCCACUCCGGCAGAUAUGGCCACUAUAGAAGCCUAACAAUCACACUACCUGACUUGUUGCAACUUGUGGCACUUGGGGAGUUCUUACAAUUACAUCGAUCUCAACAGUCACGUGAAUGACAAGAGAAACUUACAACUGCAGUCACCUCUCUGCCCAUGUGAACGGCACCUGACGAUGAAAAUGAUAGCUACGGGAUACUGAAAACGUUACUGCCAUUCCAACGUUACAGACCCCUGAAGAGUUUUAGUUGAAAAUACAGACCCCUGAAGAAGGCUGUGAUCUGAAUGACGCCCUGGAGUUUCUUCAGAGGUGGGCAUGGUAUGACCAGGCUGCUACAUCCGUUCGCUCUUUGUCUGCAUGGAUCAAGGGGGAUCAGCAAUGCCACUCGUGUGGUAGGAAUUGAUGAGUCUUGAUGUGAUGGAUUUGCUUUGCUAAACUUAUAUUUUGAUUUUGCUACUACAUGGUGCAAAGAGAAACCAGGUGGUAACCGUGGAGGCACACCGGCUCGUUUUUAGCUUCAAAUGAGAAGUACCUUCCCAGUUUCUUAACUGAUAAAUUAAAUGCCAAACUUUCUAACAUCAACUUCCAGGUCAUAUUACAUAGCUGGAUGCAGUCAAACAUUCAGAAAAAAAAAGGAAUAGUUCGUUCUGAACAUAGUAGUAUUACACUUUUUUUUAUUCUGUGCUUAUAUAUAGUAUAGCACUUUGGCAACUAGGCAAUUUGUUCAGUAUACCCAUAGUAAAAACCUUUUCACGAACAAUGAAUUCUAACUUCCAUUGGUGAAUCAUUGAAAUAGUAAUCACCUUUGUCAUAUAUGAGAUCAGCGGCUCUCGGAGGCAAGUCAUUCCUUAUUAAGACCCCUUCCCUAACCUUGGCAUGUGUCUCAGCGUCGUGCUGGAACAUUGAGACUAGCUGCUGGAGCUCCAAUUUUCUCACCUGAACCUGUUGAUCGCUGAUCGGAUUUUGCAGCCCAAAAUAGAUAUUCCCGGCGAUGAUCAACAGGAGACCUACUAAGAACAGAAGACCAGAGAACAAUGCAAAAGCAUACUGAGUGUUCUUGGCUCCAGGUAUCCCGUCGACAUUGAUACCAAACAGUCCUGUGAUGAUGGACAGAAUGAGGCCGCACCCGCCGAAUAUUGUCAGGUUGUGUGUAAUGCGAAGGCUUUUGUCCUGAAAAUACCAAAACGACAGAGUUCCUUUUACAUAAUCGGUAUUUCAGUUAUCCAGUAUCAGUAGGAUGUACUAGGCACAUAGAAAUUCUUGGGUUCAGAAUCCCUUUCCACCAGCACCAGAAAUUGUAGCAAUGUAGCAUGUGUUUACCUGCAACCAAGCACGGACAGUGCUCUGCAUCACAUCCUGAAUGGUGAACAGCCGACCCCGGACAGCCUCUUGUUCUUCGAUCAUUUUCCUUGCAUCUUUCUUUACAUCCUCAAGCAAGGAUUGUGUGGUGCUUCCCCCUAGAUACUUUAGGAGUUCAAAUAUUAUCUCCUCUCUAGCAUGUAGUGACCAUUUCACUCUGAUAACCUAGUAAUUAAGUACAUUGCAGAGUUAGAUGCUGUGGUUACAGAGUUGUGCUAGUACUCCUGUAGGGGUUUUCUUGGGUUUUCCUCACUAAAAAACAUGGGCCGAUUUGCUCAGUCGAUCUGUUAGUCAAGUUGUUAGUUGUGUUGGUUCAACCAAGUUGUUUUUUGAGCGAAUUGUGGAGUUGAGCAAGUUAGUUUGUCGACCGUUGCACUGAAGUUGCGAGGAUGGUGUGGGCGCACCCGCCCCCACUAGUUUAGUUGUUUUGGGGCACAUUUUUCACUCAUAAAAACUGGGCCAGCAUUUUUUUAUCCUUGUAAUAAAAUUACAGUAAAUCUUCCUUUUGAAUAAAAACAUACAUACCUGGGUGGCCAACCUUCUAAUGUCUUGGUUGAAGAUUAUACAUAGCAGGUUCAGGUCAUCUUCAUUUCGCCUGAGAAUGCCCAUAUAGAAUUCUAGUUACAGAGAAAAACCAAUUCAGAGAAGUUGAACAUGGGAGUGUAACUUACCUGUUUACAAAUUUAAGUUCAAUUUCAUCAGCUGCACCAAAUACGUAUUUGCGCCAUAGUCUACAUAUGUAAAAAUAAAAUGCUUCAAUCACAAAGUUUAAGUACCGAUGGUACAAAAUUAGAGUUUUAUGCAUAUUAGCAUAUUGAAUAGCACCAUCAGAUCCACCUGUCAUCCCAUCGAGCAAGCCGGGAAGCCAAAUGUGCUAUAACUUCAUGAAUACUCUUGGGAACUGUGCUUCCACAGGUAGAAAGAAGCUCCUGAAAAAAUAGAAGACAUAUUUGACAGUACUACAAUUUUCAACCUCAAAAUUGCACGUAAUCCAAUUUCUAACUCUGAAAUAUGAAAAUGGACAACGGACAUCCUUCGAAUGUCAAAAUUGGACAAAUUUGGUCCUCUGGUGGGUUUUGUCAGACUUCCAAGGGUGAAUUUUAUAUUUUCUAAAACAAUAAAAAUCUAUUUUGAUUUCUAAAACUUCAUGACUAAUUUAUUUUAAAUAAAAAAUAUAUGAAAUUAGUUCCUGUUUCGUUAUUAAAAUAUUAUAUAUUUGUCGGUGCCCUACUUACAGUUAUUUGGAUCUUAUUUGUUUUAUAAACAAAUAAUGAGCACGGCUACAAGAAAUAGAACAAUAGAACAGAAAAUAAACUACUUCCAAAUAACUAUAUGCAGAUCAUUAACAUGUAGAUAACAUUUCUAGAAAAAUAAUCGGUACUAGUUUGAUAUUUUCCUGAUUGAAAAUAAAUGAAUUAUGAAUUUUUAGAGGUCAAACUAGAUUUUUUAUAUAUGAUUUUGGGAAAUACUAGGGACCAGUCCCGACAGUUGGUGGCUGGCCAUUAGCGGGUUAAAAAUCACAAUGUAGAAACUAUGGUAAUUUUCAUAGAUAUUAAUUACACCGCUAAUUUGUUGAUGUGGCAAGUAAUUUAAUGAAGAGAGAGGAAAAAUCCAAGAAACCAGAUCUAACUAAGAAAAUUGAGUUUUCAUGGUUAUGAAUGGACUUACUCGUAGCCCAUUGAAGAGCGAAUAUGGUUUCUAUCACUACUUAUGUCAUAUAUUGUAGAAAAUCUUGUACCGAGAAGAAUGGUUUCUUGGUACAAUGCCCUAUGCUAUAGAAAGUACUACUCUCUCCAUCCCAAAUUGUAAGUCGUUUGACUUUUCUACCCCAAGUUUGACUACUCGUCUUAUUCAAAAAAUUUGUGCAAAUAUAGUCAAAUUUAAGUCAUUCUUGAAGAAUUUUUAUUAAUAAACUAAUACACAACAAAAAAGUAAUAUUUUGUACAAAACUUUGAAUAAGACUAGUGGUCAAACUUGAUAUUAAAAAAAGUUAAACGACUUACAAUUUUGGAAUGGAUUGAGUAAUAGUUUCAUGCACUGGGUUUAAAAGGUGAAAAAUGUACUGACUGAGGAAAAUUGGUCAGGAACACAAAGCUGAUCUCUUCAGAGUAACUGUUGAUUGAUGGUCAUUAGUUCCAUUACCUGGACCUCUGUAACUCCUAUAACGUUGACGUUUGGUGCUGAGCCUUUCACAUGGAGAGCUGUUAUCAGGAAAUUUUGAGCCUGCCAAGCACGGAUGACAAUAGGAAUGUCGUCUUCGUCACGAGUCGGAUCGCCGACCCGAAAAGCAGGCCUCCCGAAACUCUAACAGGAACCUCAUAGAGCAGAUGCUUCAUCUUGUCACUGAUGAGCAUGGUCUCAUCCCUGAGCGCCACGCAGAUUGCCGGGUGCAGCCACCGCGCGCUGGUAGCCAGCCACGCGUCCACGGCCGGGUGCCCCGCUGCGACGUGGCACCACCAGGUCGGACCCGCCGGCCGCUGCCAGUACGGCACGGCGACGUCGGCGACCGUGAUGUCGUCGUCGUCUCUGUCGCCACAGCAGUGAUGAUGGCCGGCGUCCGUGAGGCCGAUCCCCUGCCUCUCGUCGUCCCCGUCGACCAUCGCCGCCAGCUCCGUGAUCCUCGUCCACCCGAUGGGACACCAGUAGCUCUCGGCCGGCAGCGGCCUCCCGUGCCUGCACGCUGGCCUCAUCCUCGGCUCGUCGCCGUCGGUGGAAGAACCUGACGAUUACCAAAAAAAAAAAAUUACUACCGAGCAAGAAACUUGUUAUAUAUGCGACGACACGAUCACGAAGAGGAGACAAGUAUCUGUACCGGAAUCUGUGAUGAUCGGAAGGUCCUUGGAUUGGGAGGAGUUGCUCCGGGAAAGGUCGAUGGGAGGGCUGGCGAAGCCGUGGCCGCGACGGCGAACGAACUCGAAGGCGCAGACGAGGCCGCCGGUCCACAGGUCGGACCACGGCGCCGUGCAGGCUCCAAAGCUGUUCUUGAGUUGCUGCACGUCGUUGAUCGCCGCCGGCGGCCGCCACCUACUGCCGCUGUACCACCCAUGCUUGCCGUCCAUCCCGUACACGUCGGUCGCGUCCUCCUCCCAGAAUCCCGGAGGAAAACGGCCGGGGGUGUCGGCGACUCGGCGUGCGUCGCGUUCGCGAAUCACGUGCAAUGAGUAGUGAGUGGAUGGGCACAAACAAGCGCAUGCGGCUCUUUAAAUGGCGGCAGCCGCCUGCGUACGCCAUGGGACGCUUCUAAGGUCCGGUGUCGAACUGUCGAUCGCGCGGCGCGACACGGUGAGGGGGAUGGGGGCAGUGUCGUCGUCGUCUCGUCACGCGUCGGCGUCGAGGAGGUUGCAGUGCUGCUACUACUACUACUACAUGGACACGGCGGUGCGUUAUGGCAGAAGCGGUCGGAGGGAGACGAAGCGGCACCGGCACGUGACACUGGCCUUUCUGCGUGGGCGUGGCUCCACUUGACCUUGUUCGGUGGUUCCAGGCUUCCAGCCUAUGGAAUACGCGAUGAUUUAGGGCGUCUUUUCAAAUACUCCCUCCUACGAAAGAAUCAAUUUCUAAAAUUCAUGCCAGUCAAAUUUUUUAAAAUUUGAUUAACUAUAUAGAAAAAAGUAACAACAUCUAUGACAUAAAAUACACACCAUAUGAAAAUAUAUUCUAUGAUGAAUAUAAUGAUACUAAUUUGAUACCAUAAAUCUUAGUAUUUUUUCUAAAAAUUUAGUCAAAGUUUAAGAAAUUUGACUUAGGACAACUCUAGAAAUUGAUUAUUUCAUGGAUGGAGGGAGUAGCUAACUAGAUGAAACAUAUAAAUAAAUAAAAUAAAUAAACAUUAUAGUGGAGAGUUAUAUGAGAAAGGUAUUUCUAGAAGGUCGUGUUACAUUAGCUAUUUACAAGUUGCUAGUUAUUUAGGAGUCGUUAGCUAUUUGAUCUCUGUUCUUGAUAGUCAAUACAAGUGUUACUUUUUUUAUUAUUUUUAUACCUCGUCUAGUUAGCUAUUUGUAAAUUGUCAUUAAAAAUAUCAUUAUAGCCAAUGGAAUUCCUUCAAUAAAGUAGGUCUUCUGAAGUUUGAAUUUUGCAAAAUAAAAUACGUCAUGUAUAGAAUUCUCGUAUCAAAGUAUUUACUUCGAUCUAAACACACCGCCUAUUUGUUCGUAAAAAGAAGAUUUUAAGAGACUCUAGACAUAUUUAGAGGCUGUGUCUAUGUAAGAGAGGGCCUCAAAACAAAUGUCGUCUCUAAAAUUCAUUUAAAGUAUCUUUAAAAGUACGUCUUUCUAAAAUUUACUCUCCUAUUUAAGUAAAAAUCACAUUUUAUAUUUUUCUACCCUUCAAUAAUUCAGAGGUCCCCACCUGAAUUUGUAUUGAUCAUAUACUUCCUAAAGCAGUUUUGUUUACAGCUUAGCAGCCUGAUCGAUUUUCUAGCUUUCUUAUUACAUGGCUGCCGAAAAAACACCACACCCUACUUCUACAAUUGGCCUCCGUCGAACUGGAAAUCUCAGCUUCCACAAAGCGGCAUUAGAAAUACAGGCCAUGAGGGUCUGACGAAGGUUUGCUGUCUCAUUUCUGAAGACUGCUCCGUUUCGCCGCUUCCAAAUCUGCCAGCAGCACAGGGGAAAUGAAGGUGCUGAACUGAGUAAGUGGAAUAGAAGCAGGUGUUCAAAUGUUGUGAGAGAAGGUUGUUGCGUCUGGGGGCAGGGCUAUGCCGAUCUUAGCCCAAAACUCCUUGGCAAAAGCACAGCCUGCAAAAAUGUGGUCCAUGCAGCCCACGGAGCUCACACGUCUGGCUAUCGACAAUCUAGCUUCUUCUUCAUUAGGUUCACCCGGCAAUGAGGCCUUGUUUAGUCACUCAAAAACCUAAAAACUUUUUAAGAUUUCUCAUCAUAUCGAAUCUUGUGACACAUGCAUGGAACAUUAAAUAUAGAUAAAAAAACUAAUUACACAUUUUAUCUGUAAUUUGUGAAACAAAUCUUUUGAGUAUAGUUAGUCCAUAGUUGGACAAUACUGUCAAAUAAAAACAAAAGUGUUACAGUCCAAAAACUUUAUACCUCCUUAACUAAACAAGGCCUGAAUGCGUAUGCGUCCCUGCGAGAGCAGCAGCAGCUACAUGAAGAACUGAAGCCUCUUUGGCACAUGACUGCUCCAAAUGAAGGUCGCAGCUGGCACCUGGCAGUGAGUUACCGUCCCUGAACUUGAGCAGCCUGUAAAGACCUCCUGAGUUGAACUUCCCCAGGGGAAGACAGAAGGUUCCCUUCCUGACAUCGUCAUGAUCGCUCAGUUCCGUGCAUGCAAGGAUUGACCUCACUUCAAUCAGGUCGGACACAGGACAAGUGCCAAGUUGUCUUUAGGAACGUAAUUCUGAUAUCAAUAAGAAACAUGCCAAGUUACAACAAGUGCAGUUACAGAAAACUCAAAGUUCAUUCUUAACAAGGAACAAAGCUAACAAGUUUAUUUAUUCAGCAGAAAGUGUAGAGUCAAAUGGAAUCCUCCCACGAACAGUACAGAGGAUUAUUAUAGAUAUAUAGAUAAUGAGAACUGCAAAAAAGCUCCGCCUGCUGGUUCAGGGUCCACCACUAGUUGACCGAAGUUGGCUUAUAGUCGAUUACGAUGACCUUGUCCAACACAGGCAAGAACACAUUUGCGAAUUCAACAUGUUUAGGGUGCUCAAUGUACUCCUUGAUUCCUUCCGUGCUUUCAAAUGUCGAUUCAAAGACAUGCGUGAACCCUUGAUGCAUGUUUUCUAUGCUCACAUCAGUUCCCCUGCAGAUUAAAGAGCACAUGAGGAAUCUGAUAGUUUGAAACAACGCAGUAACCUUGCAUCAAAGAAAUGAGAGAACUACUAAGACACACGAUCGCAUUCGCAUUGAUGUGCUCAAAAUUGCUAGGAUGUGACAAAUGGACAUUCCGGUGAUUGCUAAGAUUUGAAAAAUUGGUACACUCGAGAACAUACAGUUUUGUAAAAGGACCAGGUAGAAGUGAUUCUAUAAAGUUACCAAAGAAUGUUGAUGAUCUGUUCAUUGUAUUUGUUUGAUAAUAUAUAAAUCAUUUGAGUCCCAUGUACACAUUUUAUCACAAACAAGAAGACGCUGAAAGUCUGGAGCAUCUGACACCAGAUAUCACCAACUAGACAGCAUAAUCCAUGUUUGCAAGAACUGCAAAGUGAAAUGCUCAUAAUUGGAAUGAUGGAAUAAUGUCUUGAGAGAGAACAGUUAGCAUGCUUAUUUAAUUUAAUCAAGUGGGCUGGAAAACGAUCAAGGUGAACAGAUUAUGAACUAUUUGUGUGUAUGCCUCAUAUUUUGGAGCAAGAAUUGUAUGCCUUAGAUUGUGAAUUUGUGAUACAAGGGGACACUAUGUGUGUUGACAAUAUCAACAGUAAAACGUCAUGGAAGGUGGAACCAAAUUACUCCAUCUAAGAAAAUUACAAUGCACAGUUUUCCUAAGGUUUGGAAGCAAAGUUAUAACAGCACUGAGAAUGCUUUGGUCAUUUGUCUUGUACUAGGAUUCUUUUUUUUUUAAAAAAAGUUUAUGUACCAGGAUUCUUUCGGUGCCCUGACUUGCCUAGGACUCUCAGCACAGAAGCAACACAAAAGAAAUAGACUGAGUUUGUACCUAGUACAGUGUUGACUAUAUUACUUGCGAGAAAACGGCACUGGAUCAGAGCAAAAGCAAAAUCACAGGGCCAACAAUCAAGAAUUCACAAUCAGUGACGGCGCACGGGGGAGAGUCUCAAACAAAACUGAACUAAACCAGGCACCUAAUUCGUCGAGCACCUGGGGUGCGCCAGGGUCCGGGUGGGUGAGCCGCACAGAACGCACCAGCAGCCGGCAUGGAAUUGAGUCGUAUCAAGGACUAGCAGUGGAGGGUGUUAGUUACCAGUGGAAGGCCUUCAUGGAGGGGACGGCGGCGACGAGCGCGGCGUAUCCGCGGAUGAGCUCGUCCAGGCGCUCCUGCGUCACGUCCUCCUUGAAGCGUGCCAGCAGGAUGUGCUUCACCACGCCGCCGCUGGCCAUCUUCUUGGUAGUGGUAGGUGAGGCUGCGGUGGGUGUGGGUACCAGCAGUAGUACUUCGCUCUGCUUCUUGGUUCGCUUCUGGGCGACGGACCGCUUUGUACGGGUGAGACUGUGAGAGUUGCGCGAGGUGAGGUUGGGCGGAUCGUGGCUCGUCGGCACGCACUCUCGCCUGGAUCAGGCCAGGCGUAAACAAACACGACGGAUCACGAGGUGGAUGCUUCGAUCUCAGAUUCCCAGAAUCACCGUGAGUUGACCUGGAACAAGAGACUGAAAAGCCUUUUUUUAAUGUAUUAGUUCCGAAAUUUAUUAAGAUUUUUUGUCACAUCAAAUUUUUGAUACAUACAUGAAGUAUUAAAUAUAGAUAAAAACAAAACUAAUUGCACAGUUUACCUAUAGUAUGCGAGAUGAAUCUUUUGAACCUAGUUAGUCUAUGAUUGGACAAUAAUUAUCAAAUACAAACAAAAGUGCUACAUAGCGAAAGCCAAAAGUUGUCACGAACUAGGCCUUGUUUAGUUCUAAAAAUUUUACAAAAUAGACAUUGUACCACUUUUGUUUGUCUUCGAUAAAUAUUUUCUAAUCAUGGACUAAUUAGGCUUUUGUCUCGCAAAUUAUAGGUACACUGUACAAUUAGUUAUUUUUUAUCUAUAUAUUAAUGCUCUAUGCAUGUGCCGCAAGAUUCGAUGUGACGAAAAAUCUGAAAAAAUUUUCAAAACUUGUUGGAAACUAAACAAGGCCUAAACAAGACCUCAUUAAGUAGAAGAUAGGAGUUUUAUAUGUAUAUAGAGUAGCACCGAGGUCUAACACAGCCGGCAACACUAGAAAAGCAGUCAGAGUAAAACUAUACAGAGACUAGUAUAAUGCAUGUGCUAACGCUACGGUGUCAUUCAACCAUACAAAUUAAAACUAAAAUAUUAUUUCUCUGCAUUUGACUUAACCAUUACAACUCAACACGCCAAACGCACAAUGCCAACAAACAUAUAAUCUGGGAUUCCUUUUUACUAAAAAUUGAAUUAAAUUUCUUCAAAGACAAAGGAUACAUGACGCACAAUAUCUUCAACAAUUAUAAUACAACUCUACUAAUUACAAUAAACCAAAUAUAUGACUCAAAAUAUAUAUUGUAACCUCUAAAAUUCUCUUUUUAUGAAACUGAUAUGCAGUUUAUUUUGCAUGUGCCGACUUUUUGUGGUCUCUAUUUUGCAUGUCCCGUGCUUAGCUUAAGUUGCACCUUGCACUCCUGUCCACCUCGACCACCCAGCAGUCAAUACUCAUUUGAAACUGGGAACACAUCCAACUAUCAAAAGGAUACAAUAAUAGUGAAGAGAAUGCGAGACAAUAUAUUUAUUCAGCAUACUUGAAGAAAGAUUGUUACCUGGUUGAUUGUGCUGCAGGGACUGGGGCGGCGGCGGUGGGGGAGGAUGGAGGGGAGCACCUGGUGCGGAGGUGACGAUCGGUUUUUUUUCUUUUUGUCUCGGACUCAUUACGAGGGAAGCCGGGAGAAAGGGUCGGAGUGAAGCGAGGGAGCUGACGGAGGUUUGAUUUGACGUGAGGCUGAGGGUGUGUAAGGUCGUGAUCAUACUUCUAAUCUGGGUCGUUAAAUCUGUAAGACAUGUGCUGUGAGUCGUUGAUCUUGCAGGUGGAAUUUGCCUAGAGAAGAUUUCAAUUAUAUUAGAGAUAUCUCCAACUGCUAAUGGUUAGCUGUUGUAAAAGCCUUCUGUAGGUACUAGAAAGACAGGCGCAACUUUGCCGCGCCCUUGUUGGAUACUCCGAGCAAUGAAUAAUGGAUGUCUUUUUGGCCGCCGACUUUUAUUUGUGGUUGAUUGGAAAUUGUGAAGUUGCUAAAAUCUAAUGAACGUUCUAUUGAACAAUGUCCUUUUUUAUACCUUAAUAUAUUGAACAACGUUUUCUAAAUUUAUUUUAGGAUUAAUGGGGUUAUUCUUUCAGUGGUAUGAAACGUGCUCGUCGAUAGCGAGACGUCUAUGGUGGACUUUCACUACUACACAACUAUUAACCGUGACGGGCACUUUACGUUUACCGCAGCGGACAUUGGCGUCCGCCACGAAUGGAAGGUCACGGUUAAUCGUGGCCUCACCGUGGCGGGCGCCUGUGCCCGCUGCGGAAAACAAAAAAAACCUGGACAGGCCCGCCGAGCCCAUCCAGAGGCCCGACGAGCCCAUCCAGGAAACCCUAGCGCUGCCGGUAGUUGACGGUGUACCAGUGCACGACGACCUUGGCAGCGGCGUAGGGGGAGCGCGGGUGGAAGGGUGUGUCCUCGCUCUGCGGCGGCGGCGUGGAGCUGAACAUCUCCGAGGAUUCGCAUGGUAGUAGCGGAUGGGCUUGCACGAGAGGCGGACGGCCUCGAGCAGGUGGAGCGCCCUCGUGGCGGUGACGUCGGCGGUGUAGUCGGGGACCUCGAAGGAGAUGGCGACGUGCAACUGCGCGGCGAGGUUGUAGACCUCGUCGGGGCCAAUGGCGUCGAGCGCCGCGGAGGGACGAGGAGUCGGAGAAGUCGGCGUAGUGGAGCCGCAUCGGGGGCCGCGGCGACGACGACACCGCGUGGAGGUCGUGGUAGAUGUGGUCCAGCCGCUGCGUGUUGAAGUUAGAGGAGCGGCGGAUGUGGUCCAGCACCUCGUACCUCUUGGACAGGAGCAGCCCCGUGAUGCUCGUGAUCAGCGCCACCUUCCGCGCCGGCGCAAGGGCAGUGGCGGCCGCGCUGUUGGAAUGAGCCAUUUGGGAAGCGAGGGAGGAAGGGGAUUGCAAAUUUGGGGUAGAGGGUUGGCGGUCAGAUCUGCUCUCAUAGGGGGAUGGAGUAUUUAUAUGACCCUUGCUAUCGGGCCGCUGGUGGGUUAUUUGAGCUUCGAAAUUUACUGUGACGGGCAUGAUAGGUUGCCCGCUGCGGUAAAUCAAUUUACCGCAGCGGGCAUCUUAAUAUGUCCGUCACGGAAAAUAUAUAUUUUUCGUGGCGGACGUUUUAAGAUGCCCGCUGCGGUAAAUCGAUUUACCGUAGUGGGUAGGGAUGAAAACGGAUCGGAUAUGGACGGAUAUCACCGAUAUUAUAUUUGUUUUCAUAUUUUUGGUCGGAUUCGGAUUCGAAUACGGAUAAUGUCAAUCAUGUCGGAUAAGAUACGAUUGGAUGUCGACAUCAUAAAUAUACGAUUUAAAUAUUCGGAUACGGAUACGGUACCGGAUGUUGAAUAUUCGGACUCGGAUACGGAUAGAUUUGAACCUCUCUAAACGAAUUCGGUCUCGAAUAAAAUAUCCGUACCGUUUUCAUCCCUAGUAGUGGGCAUCUUAAAACGUCCGCCACAAAAAAUAUAUAUUUUCCGUGACAGACAUAUUAAGAUGCCCGCUGCGGUAAAUCGAUUUACCGCAACGGGCAAAAGUGUCCGUCGCGGUUAAUUAAAAGUGUCCGUCGCGGUAAAUCAUGAGAUUUACCGCAGCGGACAAAAAAAAAACGCCCGCCACGGAGUGAAUAGUAGCAACGUCACGGAAGUUCGUUUCUGUAGUAGUUUUUGUUAAUCUGAUAGAGGUAUGGUGUGCGUGCGUGUGUUGAUAGGGGUGAGCAUGCACUUGUUCAGUGGUAAGCGACGUGGCCAUCGACAGCGAGAUGUCUAUGAUGACCUCGUCAAUCUCAUAAAGGUAGGAUAUGAGCGUGUGUGUUCAUAGGGGGUGGGUAUGCACUCGUUCAGUGAUAGACUGGUAGGCGACGUGUCUGUUAAUCCCAAAGUAUGCACUCUUUUAUGUGAGCGUAUGUGUCUGUAAGGGCACUUUCAAUGUAGAAACUACUAUAGUUUCUAUCUACAUUAAUUAUACUGUCACACCCGGUUUUAGAGAACAAAACCAAGCAAGCCAUAUGUGUGCCCAGGAAGUCCACACAUAUAACAACAGAAAGGAAUAGUAUCAGAAAACAAUGUUAUAUAGCGAAAACAUACAUAUAAUAGACACUUACAUCAGAGUAUCGCGGAAUGAUAACUAAUCUUUAGGCUCAAUCUUCACAGGGACGGUUGACUGGGGUAACAUAUGCCUAGCACUCCUUGUAUCCUGAGAACAUCCUUCAUGACUCCAUCCUUCUAAUCAACUCUUUCUAGUGGACUGGAGUGGUGGGAAAUAGCAAGAGUGAGCACAUAUCGUACUCAACAAGUAUAACCAGGGGUUCAUGAGGCUCAAGUAGCUGACACUGGUUUGACUGCAUUUAGCUUUUAAUAGUGGAUAGCAUAUUCAUAAUUAAGUAGCAAAUGUCAAGGUGGCAUAAAUAAUCCAUUAAUCCCAUGAUCAAGUGUAAGCAUAAUUAAUUCAUAGCAUAAACGAUAAUCAAAUGAACAUAACAACUUAAUAAGCUCAUCGUCGUCGCAGCAAGAACCCCCAAGGCCGCUCAUAACCGUGAGCACGGCUAGUAUACUAGUUUUAACACUCUGUAGAGGUUGUACAUCUUUACCCAUGAGUUAUGAUUUACCCUUUCGCCCGAGGUAGCUAAUCUCUUAACCCCCUUCCUAGGGAGGUCGGCAGGGAUGACUAUGAAGCCUUUCAAAAGUUCGUCUAACAUGUUAGGGCCGCAAGGUUUCCUUUGCGAGCAGAUAUAGAUACCCCCUUCCGAAUGGCACAAUGACGCGCAGCCUAUACACAUAGGGACAGGGGCUCGCACUAUACCCGUGUCGGUUCAGCCCCUCUAGCGCCCUUUCGGGUAACCACUAACAAGCUAGAAAAGGUCUCCAUACUGGGCUAAAGCCAGAGCCAUUAUAGCCCUCAUGGUUGCACUGUUGUCCCGGUGAUCACUUACAGACAAGAUCUCAUAUAGUUAUUUGUCAUCUUAUAACGUUCAUUGCAUAGCUAUUAAUCAUCUUACAAGAUCAUGGAUUAUAUCAAGCACUAGCUCAUCUACACCAAAUGCAUAACAAGUAGGUAGCAAGAAAUACAGGUAACAAUCAUCUAUGAUUUUUCUAAGGUCGACAAGGUGAUAGCAUGCAUAUGAUAUAUAUGUGUAGUUAUAAGUGAAUAGGUAACAAGGAUGAUCCAGUUAUACUUGCCUUAAACACUUGCUCAAUUCUCACACCAUCAGCUUUUGGUCAUCAUCUUCUAAUCUUCCGCGUCCACAAACAGUUCUUGUCUAUUCGUAUCAAGCACCACACAUAGGCAAACAUACAAGCAGCAAACAGAACAACUAAGAACAAUACACCAUACAAGAUAAAAGAGCGUACUAAAAGAUAGCUAAUGCUACAAGGUCAUAAGAAACGCUCAUAACGGAACUAUCGUUACAAAGGAUACGACUAUCGUGACCGCCUACAAGAAGAGAUAAAAGACUACGGAGCGUAUUUAUUUUAUUUCAGUGAAACAAGGUGAUAGAUAUUUUAGAGAAACAUCCUAAAGUGGAAUUAAUCAAAUUGGAUUAGUUACAAAGUCGGAGUUAAAACUUAAUUACAUUUUAAUUAUAAAUAAUUACAUAUAGAAUUUAAUCUAUUUAAGUAUUUGUAAUUUAGAAAUCAUAAAGCAAGUGAGAGCAACUAAUUGAAUAAUCAUGUUUCAAGGUUUAUCUAAGCAGAUCAUAUUUUCACAGACAUUAAUGUUGGUAUUAAUCAUAUUAACAUUUAUUUAUGAAAUACGAGAGCUAUAAACUUAAGUUAUUGUUAAUAAAUUAAAAGACAGGGGAUAAAUAUUAAUCAUAUCAGCUACACAUUUCAUGUUUAGCUAAACCACUAUAGUUAAGAAAUAUUUAAGUUGUCAUUAAUUGUAUUAACACUUAUUGAUUGAUUUAUUUAUUUAUAAAGAUUGAAAUUAUGAACCUAAGCCACUUUUAAUUCAAUAAGACAUAUAUAAGCAUGAAUCAAAUUAAUAUGAUUAAUUAAAUUUAUAAACUCAUAACAUGACAAAUAUUGUUACUAACUCAUAACUUAAAGUUGGUGUGGUCACAACGCAACCAAAAACAGAAUUAUAACCCUAGAUUAAUUUUUAUUAGGAAGCUAUUAAUUAAAUAUUAAAUAAAUUAUAUUUAAAUCAAUAAAUUCAGAAUUGAGUUACAUAAUAAAUAUGUAUACUACUAUGUAGAAUCCGUCGAUAUGAAUCUAAUGCAGCUUAAACCACUCAAAUCGGUCGUAAAACGAAUGAACGACACAGAUUAAACGAGCAGUGGCAAAACCGUAAUAACCUUAUCUUGUACCUUGGUCGUCGUUUCCAUCUGGAUGUGGCCCUGGCCAUGGUUGAGUGCUGAUGCUGCUGCACCAAUUGCACGAGAGGAGGAUGGCCUCUGCGCUGGCCUGCCAACCGGCCGUAGACGGCGCUGGGCACGCACCCACGACGGGCUAGGCUAGGAGUCUUCACGGCAGCCUACCUCCACGGGCUGCACAGAGCCGGCCACGCGAUCAACGGUGGCGCCUAUGGCAGCUGCAAGCAGCGUGCGAGAGAGGCCACGCAAACCACAGGACUCGGCUUGGCGGCGCAGUUUGGCCGUGACGCAGCCAAGGGCCAGGACGGUCGGAACGAAGGAGCUUUGUGGUCGUCAAUGGAGUUUAUCCCGGAAUCUCGUCGGAAAAGCGAUAGAAGGUUAGGAACCAUAAAACUAAUAUGGAUUCGUACAACGAAAGACAUGCCGGUGUAGAGAAUGACGAAACGAACCUCGAGGUGGAAGCGGAACUCGCCAGAGAUGAGGAACGUGGCCGGAAAAGCUCGCCGAACCUUCGUCGGAAGUUCGCCGGAGCUCUAGGUUUCGAAACUUCGGCUUUAGAUAGAAGUGGCGGCUCAGAAGAGCGGUUGUACUUUCGGAAUCAGCGAGUCAAGGCCUAUGCCGACAUAUAUAUAGUGUUAGGGUUUUGGGUUGAUGGAAAAACGAGAUAUUUUAUUAAUUUCGGAAUUAAUUAAUUUCGUGAAUAAAAAUAAUUUUAGAAAGUCCAGAAUUGAUUUUUAAGGUCAAAAAAUACUCCGAAGGCUCCAAAAAUUAUGAGAAAAUUUUUAGAGAUAUUUUAGAACACGAGGAACCCAAAUAAAAUAUUUAUAACUCAUGAAAAGAUAUCUAAAAGUAUUUUAAAAUUAGAUUAUGCUCAUAGGAAAGUGGAAAAGAAUUUCAGAAAAAAAAACUAGAAAACUCCCGAGAAAUUUUAAUAGAUCGAUUGAUGGAAGAUAUACCCAAAAUCAAAAAUUUUGGGGUGUGACAUAUACUGUCAUUUAAAUGUUUUACUAAUGUGGCAAGACAAUUAUUGAAGAAAGAGCAAAAAUCAUGGAAACCGGGUUUAAGUUAGAAACCAUGUCUACACGAGAUCCAAUACACGAAGGGACGAGAUCCAAUACAUGAAGGGUUGAGAUUGGUGCAGAACGAAGAGAGAAUGCAUGUGAUUGGAUAAAAAAUUAUUCUAUAUAAAUUAUCUAUCAGAACUAUGAUUUCCAUAUAUAGUUUCUAGCAUUUGGGACUGCCCUAAUCGGUUUUCGCAAAAAUACCCUUUCUGUGGAAUUAAACAGCAAGUAUAAAACCUCAAUGACUAUUUAUAAAUUAAUACUAGUUCUAAAUUCUGAUAUCACAUAGUAGAGGCCGGCUAAGACAUCAAAUGGGAUUAUAUGUUCUAGACAGUGUCUACUAUUCUUCUAUAAAUUAUAUGGGAUUUAGAAAUCUAGAAAAAUAAUUGAGAAACAAAUAAGGAAACUAAAGACAUAAUUACGUUCAAAAGUUCAAACAUAACAGCUAGCUAGCUUAUCCUGACUACACUUGCAACAAUCCGCUCCAGGCCGCUGCGUGUGGCUCGCAAUUUCCGUGCUCGAGUAUCUGGUACAAGGUCGCGCCAGCACUGUACUCCCUUCUGAAGUCAUUCACGCUAGAGCGAACACAACGAGCCCAACGACCGAACAAGCUUCUUGAGCCAUCGGUAACUCACAUGGCCGCUAGCCAGAGCCGAGACAGUUUCGAUGGUUCGAUAAAGAUCGUACGGUGCAAAAUACAGAGUGACGUGGCCAAAUGAGAGGAGAGAGUAUCUGGUACAAGAUUCGUCUAUUAAAAGAUUGCUUCAAGUCUUUCUUGGCUCGGCCAGCCACCUGAAGUGCUGUGGAGUAUUUGUUGUCAAAGAUUCGGCAUUACCCUCCUUCCAGACAUUUCACAUAAUAUAAAUAGUCAUUUAGUUGAAUUCACGCCGCCCUUUUUGGGAUCGAGGGUAAAUUAAAGGUCGAUUCCAAUCAUAUUAAGGUGUCGGUACUAUUUUGUAUGACCAGCUGGAAGUUGUUGAAAUUCUUCCAAGUUGCAACUAUAGACCAUGGCCUUGUUUAGUUUUUUUUUUUUUAAAAAAGUUCAAGAUUGCUUGUUUUCGUGCACUUCAUGAAAUCAGAUUUGUUCCUAAAAAAACAACAAAGCCUCCAAUAGAUCUUUUGUCAUCUGAGGAACGGUUGGUGAGCUCUCCAGCUAUGGAGGCCACUGGUCAUGAGUUCGAGCUCUGCCCGCAACCUCUCUAUCAUGUGGAGCCACAAUAGGAAUACGAUGUGCCUGUCAUCUACGAUGUCAUGAUGGUCUCAAUGAUCUUAAGAAGGACGCGAUUAUUAUCUAUGUGUAGUUGUAGGUCGAGUAGUGCACGUGUGGUGUGUGUGUGGUGUGCGUGUGUUGUGUAGGUGUGUGUUUCCGUGCCUGAACAGAUCAUGUCAUCUAGAGAAUAACAUCUAAGAAAGCGCUGACAAGCAAAAGACUUGCAUUAGCUAAUUUUCAAUCCAACUUCAAUUGAUUGCUUUAGGUAUCUCAAAAUUCUUUUUACAACAACCCAAUGUACCGUUGUUAGUGCAUGUAAAAACUGACAAACUUUAUUUCUAGAAAAAGUAAUAUCAGGUUAGUAAGAGUCAAAUAUUGGAGAUCGCCAACUAUGCUCCUAUACUGUGUAGCAUAGCUCAGACUCAAAUGAUAUAUCCUUAAAAAGUAUUCCCUCUAUUCUAAAUUGUAAGUGGUUUUGAUUUUUCUAAUACAUCUAUAAAUAAUAUAUUUAAAUACAUAGUAAAAUGGAUGAACUAAAAAAAUAAAAUGAUUUAUAAUCCGAAAAGGAACUGUAACUUCUUACCCGUGACAAUGGAGUACUUACUGGCUUGCAAUCCGUCAUUCCUAUUUAGCCUUGUUUUGAUUUUAUACUAAUAGCACUUUCGUUCAUAUUUAAUAAUUAUUAUCCAACUAUAGACUAAAUAGGUUUAAAAAAAUUGUCUCAUAAAUUACAGACAAACUAUACAAUUAGUUUUUGUUUUCUUCUACGUUUUGUGCUCGAUGCAUGUGCCGCAAGAUUCGAUGUGACGGCAAAUUUUGAAAAGUUUUUGAAUUUUGGAGUGAUCUAAACAAGGCCUUACUUGACGUAGCGAAGUUCUUCCAAACCUUUUAAUGCAAAAUGGUGUGAAGUUUUCCUAAAUCUUUUAAUGCUACAUCUCUCUCUCAAAAAAAAAUUUGUGGCUACAGAGAUGAGCGCCUCUUCGUCUUCAGGUAGCAGAUUUCUGCUGUGCUGCUGCUACUGCUGCAGGGCUGGGUCUGGCCGCAGUGGCCGGAGGCGGCGGUGUCCAGCGCAUCUACGACGGCGGCACUGGCGACCGGGGCAUCCGACCUUAGUUGCCACCGCGCCUCUGCUGGUCCUGUAACCGUCGGCGAGUCCAUGCUGCUAUACUGGGUACUCCAUCCUCACCUCGAGUCCACGACGCGACGCCGAAGAUGUAGCUCCAGCCACAGCCUACAGCCUUUGUGCCGUCCAUCAACAGCUGCAAGGACAUUAGCUGGUGUUGCCUCCACCACUGCCUGCAAUGUGUUCGACAAAAUGUCCCGCUCACUCUAAUUUUCUGUUAAAAGGUUUACAUGCUAAACAUUGAUGCACCUGAUAGAUUUUGCAAAGUUCUCUAUGCAAGACAUGCAAGUUACAUGAUUCUUUGGAACGAAAUCUGCAUGUUUCACAAGAUUUGAUUUCUGGAAAUUAGUUAUUGUGUGAGUCGAUUUGGAUUAGCAAUUGUUUCAAUUCACAAAGGCAUGCUGCUUUCCAGCAUUUUGAUAUAGCCCACCAAAGUCACCAAGACAAUUAGUGUUGGAUCACACAUAUUCAGUGUCCCUUUUUAGCCAUCACGAUGUUUUUUGGUAAGCAUUCUAUGCAACCAGAUGUUGUAGCUAAUAUGAAUUGCUCACAUCUCAGUACUGAAUGUAUAAUGCAAAUGUAGAUUAGAGGAGACAUCCAAUAUACUUCAGUGCCCCUUUUUAGCCAUCAGAUAUUGUUUUUGGUAAGCACUGUAUGCAACCAGAUGUUGUAGCUAAUAUGAAAUGUUCACAUCUUAGUAUUGACUGGAUGCAAAUUUACAGAUCAGAGAAGACAUUCUUAUAUGUUUGAUCUGAGAAACUGGUGGAGCUUAUGAAGCAUAUUAUCAUUGUUACUUGAACAAGAGUCUAUACCACUAGAUGUAGGAGUAGUGCUAUUGGUCUUGCUCAUACAAUCCAGAAGGACCCAGUUACAAAUAAUUUUAUCUAUCAGAAUGGAGCAAUGGUAAGACAGACCUUAUGGUUUCUGUACCUCAAACUAAAAAUGCACUCCAAUGAUUUCCAACGUAUCCAAUUAUCAGACCUUGUUUAUGCUCAUCUACAAUUGAUUUUGUUUUGCCAUAGCAUCAAGGAAUUCUCAAAAGUAUAUCUCAUAAUGCAGUUGUUUAUACGCGUGAACAACAUGGUUCCGAAUCAACAGCUGCAUUCGUUUACAAUGUACAAAUACAAUGGGUUGUGCACAGGGGCGAAGCCACGUUGGCUUUCCCUGGUGCACGUCCACCAUGGUAAAAUAAUAGUUUGUUAAUACCUGCCUUAAAUUUUCCAUAUAUUUUCUUUCAAAUUUUAUACAUUCCUUUAUGUUUGAUAGAGUGUGCACCAGGGUUAGUUUUGAGGUGGCUUCGCCCCUGGUUGUGCAGCUGGUCUGCUCAACGGAGGGCGUGGCAAAGCCUCAUCUGUCUUUCUAGUAGAUUAGUUAAUUCAAAGCAUGAACCAUGAACAUGCCAAAGGUGAAGCCAUACAACACUCCCACGGAUCAUUUCUAAUUUAUAUAAACACACUUACUUUUUUGAACAAUAAAUGUAGAUUACAUAAUUUAAAAUCACAACAUCAAGUAAGGAGCAACGAAAUGAGUAGCAGAUUCUGAUAUCAACUCUUGGUAUCCAUUUUUCUUGUCAGAGAGGCCAAGCCAACAACUGCUUGCACGUAAACCCAGUCAUACAAUGUAUCAUAGAAUGUGAAGCAAGCAAUUCUCCAUUUGGUCUUGAACAAUAGGAUGCAGAAGACUGUCCAGAGCCCUAUCACAAAUCCGGAACUCAUGCCAAGGAAAAGGAAAACAUUGUCGCUUCCAUCCUUGUGAUCUUCUGGAGCAGCAGGGACCAAGUUAGUUUCAGGACAUUUCUUUGUGAGAGGAGGACCGCAGAGACCUGGGUUGCCAACAUAGAUUGAUGCCUGACCAUCGAGCACUUGCAGCUGAUUUCCAGAUGGUAUCUUUCCUGAUAGAUUGUUGUAUGACAGGUUCAAGUGGCUCAAAUAUGUGAGAGCUGAUAAGCUUGUGGGGAUUUCACCGGAUAGCUCAUUGUGUGAUAGGUCGAGGGAUUCUACUUGUGCCAAGUCACCAACUUUUCUUGGAAUUUCUCCACUUAAGGCAUUCCAUGACAAAUUCAAAUUAUUCAGUGCAACAAGAGUGCAGAUCUCUUCAGGUAUCUCACCAGUAAGAUUGUUACAAGAUAAAUCCAGAUUCACCAUAUAAAUUAUUUCUCCUGUGUAUAGCUGCUCUUGACCUUUUGUGACUACAGUAAAACUGUCAUUAUAAUCCAUCAUUUCAAUUGAAUCAAUUAGCAUUCCAGAAGCCAGUGGAUCUUCAUAGUCAUGGUCGUUGUCACCUGUUGCUGUUAGUGUCAUCCUCUUCCAGUUGACAAUAGAUUUUGGUAUGACACCUGAGAAGUUAUUGUAGGCAAAGUCCAAAUACUGAAGAUUAAUCAGAUUCGCCAAUUCCACUGGAAUGUGACCGCAAAACAUAUUAUGCCUUAACCGCAAGAAAGUCAAGGAUGGUAGCUUAUCCCCAAUCCAUGACGGUAAAGUCCCAAGGAAUUGAUUAUCUGACAGAUCAAGGAAUAUGAGUUCCUGGCAGUUUCGGAGAAAUAAUGGAAAUUCACCAGAGAGGUGGUUAUUUCUUAAGCUUAGAGUACGAAUAUGCAAACUUGUCAUGUUUGUUGUGUAUUCAUAGCCCAGGCAAUCAGGAAGCGAUCCAGUGAGAUUAUUACUUGAGAUAUCUAAGAAAUAUAGCAACUGCAGCUUGCAAAAUGAAGAUGGGACAGUGCCAGAAAUGGAGUUGUUAUAUAGAAAAAGUGUUGCAAGCCUGGGCGCUCUAAAAUCCAUUGGCAGUGGACCAUAUAAAUUGUUUCUACUAAGAUCCAGUUCAGUUAUAUUAAUAGGGAGCUUAGGUAUUGGACCACUGAACUGGUUAGAACUUAGAUCCAUUGCAGAAGCUCUCAUAAGUUCCAUUUGAGGUGAUAGAAAACCACUAAUUUGAUUUCUUCUCAUGUUCAGAUAGUAAACCGAAGAAGCCAUUGUCCAGAACCAAUCUGGAACCAUGUCAGAUAUGCUUGUGUUUGAGAUAUCGAGACUGUACAUAUUUGUUUGCCAUCUGAGCCAAGUUGGAAAUUUAGGCCCCAAGAUGCAUGACCGAAGUUCAAGCACUGUAAGAUUAAAGGGAGGAACCCAAGUCGAGUUCACUCUGAUGGCUAUGGAGUUGUCAGACAGAGACACGCUGUCCAAGUUUACUAGCCCUGACAAAUGCCCUUCAUGCAAGUCACCGUCUAGGUUAUUGGAGCUUAGGUCUAACUCUCUUAGAUUUGUGAGCUGUCCUAUCGACAGUGGCACGGGACCGGUGAGGUUGUUGGAGCUUAGGUCCAAGUCAGUUAGAUACGUGAGCUGUCCUACCCACAGUGGCAUGGAACCAGUGAGCUUGUUAUCACCAAGAUCAAGCCAUGCCAAAUUUCUGAAGGUUUCUAAUUUGGCUGGUAGGUUUCCUGUCAGAUUGCUGAAGUGUACAACCAAUGUUUUCAAUUUGUUCCAUGAACAACUUGGUAAACGUUUGAAAAAUUCUGCUAUACUACCAUUGAUGUUGUUAGACAAAAAUAACUCUUCCAGACUACAAAGAUUUUUCAAGUUUGAAGGUAUCAUGCCCACAAGGUCAUUUCCUGAUAAAUCAAGUCGCACCAUGGAGGUCAUAUUCCCUAACUCAUACGGAAAUGGACCAUGCAAGUGAUUGAAUGAGACAUCAAGUUGCUUGAGGCUAGUUAAAUACCAAAACCAGUUGGGUGCGAUAUGCUUGUGGAAACGGUUAGCCGAAAUGCUGAGAGAUUCAAGAGAUGUCAGAUUUGAAUCCGAAAGAGAAUCUGGGCAGGUGCUAAGGUCACAGAAAGAAAGAUCAAGACUCACAAGAGAAGGAAGCAUGUUCACGACGGAAACCCAGUUGGUGAUGGUACUGAGGUUCACCCAGCUCAUGUCGAGGUGCUCAAGGGAUGAUAACCGUGACAGCCAGGUGAUAUCAGUGGAGUGCGUGUCACCAAAAAUGGAAUCAAGAUUCAUGUAACGCAAGUUGGAGAGGUUACCGAGCUGUGGUGGUAUCCUUCCAACUAAGCUGGACAUCGACAGGUCGAGAUAUCUCAAUUCAUGUAAAGAGCCCAGGAACUCAGGUAUUUUCACCAUGCUGAACCGGUUGCAGCUAAGGUCGAGAUACUGCAAGUGCUGCAAAGCAACAAGUGAGGAGCUUAUGUUACCUCCAAGCACCUGCUUAACACAGUUGUAGUAGUCCGGGCCUUGUAGAUCGAGCUUAACAACAUGACCUGUUGUGUUACUGCAUUGGACGCCCUUCCAUUUGCAACAGUUAUCUCCCUCCCCCCAUGAUGACAGGCGGUUUGCAGGGUCUGAAAGGCCAGCUCUGAAGGCGAGGAGAGCUGACCGUUCAUGGGCUAUGCACCUCUUGAAUGUAUUAUUUGUGUGGGUAGAUGCCUCUGUGGAGCUCUUGAUGUGGGUAAAAACGAGCAGGGUUAUGGCUAUCUGGAUGCCGGAGAUGUCAAGCCUGGCCAUGAAAAGAUUCUUGCUUUGCUUUGCUUUGGAUCUAUCUGUUCUUCUUUGCGAGGAGCGCUUUGGUCUGAAGUAAUAUAACAAGUUAAUCUACCUUUAUGUGAUUGAUGUCCUCUGAGUGACUGGUGUGUCAUGAAAAGAUUGGAGAAGCAAUUUCCUAGCUCCUGCCAGUCAAAGUCAUAGUCCAAAAAUUGAAAGAUUGCCGGUGCUAUUCUAGGCCAUAUAUUCGUAAGGCCAAAAUUUCUUUAUGUUAUGUUUUUCAUCAAAUAAUUUCUUUCUUUUUGAGAAGAUUAAACGGAUGUCCAUGCUAUUUAUUGAUAGGGCCUAAAUUGACCAAUGCAAGCACCUUUUUUAUUAAUUUUAUUUAUUAGUUAUCAAUAUUAUUAUUGUUAUCAUCAUCAUUAUUGUUAUUAUUAUGGACGUUGUUGCCACUUGAUUAAGUACUCCCUCCAUUCAUUUAUCUCCAUCUAAAUUAAAAAUUUUUAUUCAAAAUCUCUUUCAUAUUAGUUUGGAACUUGACUAUAUUUAUUGUCCUUUUGCUGCUCAUUACCCACCAUUUGUCUGUAUUUAUUGUCUCUUUGUUGUUUAUUGGUUGUUCUUUGCAUGUGGCUCCUCAUGUAUGCUCAACCCGAGAUGAUUAAAUACAAAGUUGUUGGGGAACAGCUGCAUCCUUCCCCCUGGUAGCGUCGAAGGUUAUCCUUCACCCGAGGAACCUCCGACGCCUGAAGCGUCGGAGGAUAUCCUUCAGGCGUCGGAGGAUAUCCUUCAUCGGAAAAUACUAAUGUUGACGACUCGUCUGGUCGUGCUAAGUGUGUGCAGGGACUGAGACACCGGCGGAGGUCCACGAGCAAGGAAAGGGGGGAACCUCCGACCCUCCCGGGUCGGAGGACGGCGGGAGAACGCUGCCAGGCCGAGGGACCUCCGACUCGACCAGGCUAAGGAGGAACUCCCGGGGUGGCCGGGUCGAGCAACCUCCGGCCCAGCCAGGCAGAGGAACCUCCGACACUGAAGCGUUGAAGGAUCCGCAAUUGGGCGGAGGAUCCAAGCCUCCGACCAGCUGAAGCCCCAGACAGAGGAUAAACGAAGGGCUUGCAAUGUGAAAUUACGCAGGUGACUUAGGGUCAGUAGACUGUGAUGUAAGAAUAUACCGGAAUAUCCCCCCACCGUCACGGGGUAUUUAUGUAAACGUCAUUAGGUCGGUUUCCAGGCCCUAUAUAAGAGGCGUGAUGCCGUCAUUAAUAAAGAGAGAGAGCAUUCACUGUAUUCACCUACUGUUGAGUUCACUGCUCGCUAGCGCUCAAACCUCUCACGGUACCGAGUGAGAAGGUUCUCGAUCCACCGUAUUGCUGGGAAGUGCGGAGAGCAUUUUCCCAACAUUGGCGCCCACCGUGGGGCUCGAAGGAUAACCUGCGAUGGCUGGGAAGAGAACAAGCACCACAAGACCUCGGGCAGAACCCUCCAGGAGAGGAAGGCCGAGGAGGGCCGUGCGGAGCACGUACGCGACCGUGGAGGGAGAAGGUUCUGAGGGCGAGCAGCCAGAGAACGUGCAGCCGGAAACACGCCAGGAACCUCCUCCCGCCGCAGGCCCGGCGCAACCCACGGCAACGCAAGAGCUCCAGCAGCUGCAAACGCAAUUGCAGAACCUUCAGCAAGAGCGAGACCGAAUCGCUGCCGCCUACGCCGCCAGCCAAGAGGCAGCGGUAGCCGCGACGCAAGCAGCCGAGAUCAGGCAGCAGCUUUCAAUCCUGCAGGCAGAAAUCCUUAGCAUGCAACCUCCACCUCAGCCGACGAUCCAGCCCGCUGUUCUGCCCAGCGCCGGCCCAACAUUAGAUGUGCAACCGGCAAACUACGGUGGCAUGCUGCGGAGCACGUUGGACCUUCGUUCCCCUCUGUCCGAAGGAUUGCAGACCUCGCCUUGGCCAACAACCUACAAACCGAUCACGCUCCCUAAGUUCAACGGAAAGGUUGACCCCCGCCAAUUCCUGAUGAGUUUCGAGGCAGCCGUGGCCUCAGCCGGAGGGAAUGAAUCUGUGAUGGCUAAGUCCUUUGUGAUCGCGGCCGAAGGAGAUGCCUUGGUAUGGUACUCGAUGCUUAGGCCCGGGUCGAUCUAUUCAUGGGAGAACCUUCGAGACAAGAUCUUGGCGAAUUUCCAGGGGUUCGCAGUUGAAUCACUAACCUCUACGGACCUGUUCCAGUGUCGCCAAAGUCAGGGAGAGGCACUGCGGGAAUACUUCCAAAGGUUCGUGCAGACCAAGGCCAAAGCACCCGGCGUGCCGGAAGAGGUUGCCAUUGAAGCGGCCAUCAAAGGUCUCCGCAUAGGACCUUUCGCAGCUCACUUGGCCAGAGAGAAACCAGCAUCCAUGCACGAGCUGUACCAUGAGUUCGAGAAAUAUUGCAGGUCAGACAACGACUACCGCAAGAGGUUGGAAGACCAAAACUCUCAGAAGAGGCAGAGCAAUGACAGCAACUCGCAGAAGAAGAACCCUAGCCAUGACAAGCACCGGCCACAGCGAGAGGCUGGGGGACAGAUGAUGAAUAUUGAGCAACCAAGGAAUGACAGGCCGGAACAUAACCGUCCACCGGCGGAAACGUGAGACCCGGAACGCAGACCCAAUCAAGCUGGAAGAGGGGGUCGAAAUGCGGGAUGGCAAAAAAAUCAAAAUCAGCGGCCACGGAAGCAGUAUUGUUUCUUCCAUGGAGAGGAGAAGGGUCACUCCACCAGAGAUUGCCCGGAUGCAAAGGAAACUCAGGAGAGGAUCAAGAGCAGGUCAGCUCCGCAACCUCCGACACUAGUUGCUCAACCUCGGGAGGUAAAUCACACAUUCCCUCAAACCUUCUACCAUUCAUAUGUCGGAGGUUCAAGCCAGCAACACCCAGCUCCAAUUCAGCCAAGCGCGCUAGCCUCCGCUUACUAUCCCAGAUUCCUACCAGCUUGGCGCCCAGCCCAGCAAACCGCGGACCACAACCUUCCACCAACCUAUGUUCCUCCACGACCUCCACAGAUUACAUACAUCGAAACCCCGCAACUCCACCAGCAGUCACUGCCUCCUCCCCCAAACCAGCUACAGUUAGUCCAGGCUCCACCUCCACCGAAAAUCGAACCCCACCCCGAUAAUCAGAUCGGCCCUCAUACACCCCUGCCCACGAUUGGAAUGAUCUUACCAAUAGCUGGAGGGUCCUCAAUGGAGUUCCAGACAAAGAAGCAGAAGAAGGAUCACCUCCGGCUCGUUAACAACGUUGCAGUUCAAGGGCCAGUAAGAUGUACCGAUUGGUCCAGAACCCCAAUAACCUUCACCGAGGAAGAUCUGAGGUUGGAAAGCUACCCUCACACAGAUGCCUUGGUCAUAACAACGAAUGUUGCGGGUUGGGGAGUAAGCAGGAUCUUAGUGGAUUCAGGGAGUUCCGCGGACAUAAUAUUUGCUGGAACCUUUGACCAAAUGAAGCUCAGUAGAAGCCAACUCCAACCUUCGGAGUCACCUUUGAUCGGGUUCGGAGGAAAGCAGAUACAUGCUCUGGGAAAGGUCGCCUUGCCCGUAUCCUUCGGCACAACGGAGAACGCAAGAACAGAGUACGUCACCUUCGAUGUGGUAGACCUGCACUACCCAUACAAUGCCAUAUUCGGGCGAGGAUUCUUGAACAAGUUCAAUGCGGCCGCUCAUAUGGGAUACCUGUGCAUGAAAAUCCCAGCUCUGCACGGAGUGAUAACGGUUCACGGAAGUCAAAAGGAGGCAAGGAACAUAGAGAAAGCAAUCUACAAGUCCUUCCGGAACAUAAACUCCGUAGACUCUACGCAACAUGGAGCUUCCCAUCCACCAGACAUGCCAAGGGGGAAAACAGACCUGGCUGAUCAGGAGGAAACGAAAUGUGUCCCCCUGCAGGAGGCUGUUCCAGAUAAGAAGGUCACCAUCUCCGCCAACCUCAGUAGAGAGGAGGAACUCGAAUUGUUGGACGUGUUGCAAAAGAACCAAGAUAUCUUCGCCUGGAGUGCAGCUGACCUGCAAGGAG
rnacentral:lncRNA from 1 species